CUGAUGUCAUCCAGGAGGCUACUGAAUCUGGACCUGUGACUCUUGGUGGUGACAUGCGAGCUGAUUCACCUGGACACUCAGCCAAAUAUGGCAGCUACACCAUGAUGGAUCUCAAAAGAAACAAAGUUAUUGAUAUCCAACUUGUACAGAGCAAUGAAGUUGGGAAUAGUGUGCGAAUGGAGAAGAAGGG